rnacentral:rRNA from 1 species
UACGUAGGGGGCAAGCGUUGUCCGGAUUUAUUGGGCGUAAAGAGCGUGUAGGCGGCUGGGUAGGUCCGUUGUGAAAACUCGAGGCUCAACCUCGAGACGCCGAUGGAAACCCUCCAGCUAGAGUCCGGAAGAGGAGAGUGGAAUUCCUGGUGUAGCGGUGAAAUGCGCAGAUAUCAGGAAGAACACCCGUGGCUAAGGCGGCUCUCUAGUACGGUACUGACGCUGAGGAGCGAAAGCGUGGGGGAGCAAACA